rnacentral:lncRNA from 1 species
GUUUGGUUUGAAAUAGUUAGUACCUUAGUUAAUCUUGCUUCGUUUGGUUCGGAGUUAAAGUAAGAACUAAUUAUUCCAGAAAUAGAUAUAAGUUCAGGUGUAAACAAUUAGUUCAGAUACUAGUUGACAGAGUACUCGUUUGUCGCUUUUAUCUUUAGAAGCAUUGUUCUAAAGUAUUAUAAAAUAUUAUUUUAUAUUUUUAUAUUAAAAAUUUUUAAUUGACUGAAAUGAAGUACAAAAAUUUUAUUUUAAACUACAAUAAAAUUACAUUGCAUAGUUUCAUAGAAAAUAAGUGCAUGUUCUAAUAAAAUAUUAUUUUAUAUUUUUAUGUUAAAAAUUUUUAAUUGGCUGAAAUGAAGUACAAAAAUUUUAUUUUAGGCUACAAUAAAAUUACAUUGCAUAGUUUCAUAGAAAAUAAGUGCUAUUUCUAUAACAAUGUUUCUAAAGAUAAAAUGGACAAACGAGUAUUACAGAAAAUUAACUGAGAAUUAAAAUCUCUAUAUCCUAGUGAGGACACCUAUUGUAAAUCAACCAUAUUAGCGAGUAUACCAGGACAGUAGAGUGUUUAAACAUAGGUAGUUAGUAUUGCUCUUUUCUUAUCUUUAAACCACUCUCAUUUAUUUCUUUCGCUUUUAUUUUAUUACAACAAAAUGUAAGAUAAAUAAUGGUAUGAUUUAUUUUAGAAUAAAAAAUAUAUAUAAAUUUAAAAUCAAGUAUGAUCACUAACUUGAGAAUUAGUAGUCAAUCCAUAAGUAACAUAUUAUAAUAAAAUAAUUUAUAGUCAAGAGUCCUAGAGGAUAAAUUGCACUGCUAUCUCCUAAACCUUUGGCGAGUUUCACUUAACCCCUCCGAACUCUUAAAAUAGACAUCUAACACCCUAAACUCUAAUAUUUCAUUCGUUUUACUCCUUCCAUCAAUUUUCGAUUAACGGAGUUUGACGAAAAACUGAUGGAAGUGGUAACAUGAAUAAAAUAUUGGAGUUUAGGAUGUUAGAUGUCCAUUGUAAGAGUUCGAGGGGUAAAAUGAAACUUCACCAAAAGUUUAGGGGGUAACAUUGCAAUUUAUCCCAAAGGGUAUCUUGAUUUUUGUUAGUAGAUCAUAUCUAGUCAAUUCAGGCAUUAAUCUGCUUUAAUUAACUACACACAAAAAAGAGAAAAAUAAAUAACCACCUAUCUAAAGCAAAUCCGCCACAAAACUCUAAUUAAAUUCAGUUUUAAAUUUUCAAAAAGAAUUAAACCAAAAAUUAUUUUAGAACACACCUGGCAAUCAUGAGGCGCAAAUAAUGUGUCACCUUUUUUUUUUUAGAGAUAGGUACCACGCUAUCCGCUUCGUUUAUUUCAUUUAGAAAUAAACUUAUCUGAAAAUGUGAAUCAACUAGAAUUCGAACUUGGGUCUCGGGUACCAACCACCAAGCCCUUUGCCACUUACUCUAGAGACGGUCGGUAAGUAAUGUGUCACCUUGAUCAUCAAUAUCAACUCCAUUCCUCGACCCAG